rnacentral:rRNA from 1 species
AUUGAACGCUGGCGGCAUGCUUUACACAUGCAAGUCGAACGGCAGCGCGGGCUUCGGCCUGGCGGCGAGUGGCGAACGGGUGAGUAAUGCAUCGGAACGUGCCCAGUAGUGGGGGAUAGCCCGGCGAAAUCCGGAUUAAUACCGCAUACGACCUGAGGGUGAAAGCGGGGGACCGAAAGGCCUCGCGCUAUUGGAGCGGCCGAUGUCGGAUUAGCUAGUUGGUGGGGUAAAGGCUUACCAAGGCGACGAUCCGUAGCUGGUCUGAGAGGACGACCAGCCACACUGGGACUGAGACACGGCCCAGACUCCUACGGGAGGCAGCAGUGGGGAAUUUUGGACAAUGGGGGCAACCCUGAUCCAGCCAUGCCGCGUGCGGGAAGAAGGCCUUCGGGUUGUAAACCGCUUUUGUUCGGGAAGAAAUCCUCUGGGCUAAUACCCCGGGGGGAUGACGGUACCGGAAGAAUAAGCACCGGCUAACUACGUG